UACAGAGGUCCCGAGCGUUGUUCGGAUCCAUUGGGCGUAAAGGGCGCGUAGGUGGCCCGGUCAGUCCGUGGUGAAAGCGCGGGGCUCAACCCCGCGUCGGCCAUGGAUACUGCUGGGCUGGAGCACUGUAGAGGCAGGCGGAAUUCCGGGUGUAGCGGUGGAAUGCGUAGAGAUCCGGAAGAACACCGGUGGCGAAGGCGGCCUGCUGGGCAGUUGCUGACACUGAGGCGCGACAGCGUGGGGAGCAAACAGG
rnacentral:rRNA from 1 species